rnacentral:rRNA from 1 species
AAGCCCACUCUAGCCCAACCACAUCCCAAGCAGCAGCAAUAAGAAACUCACUUCACUACCCAACUAAAACAUUCUUUAGACCCAGUAUAGGCGAUAGAAAGGUCCACUUGGCGCGAUAGAGAUUCCGUACCGUAAGGGAAAGAUGAAAUAGUAAUGAAAAGCUAAGCAAUAAACAGCAAAGAUAGAUCCUUGUACCUUUUGCAUCAUGGUUUAGCAAGAAUAACCAAGCAAAAUGAAUUUAAGCUUGCUGCCCCGAAACCCAAGCGAGCUACUUACAAGCAGCUACCUGUGAGCGAACCCGUCUCUGUUGCAAAAGAGUGGGACGACUUGUUAGUAGAGGUGAAAAGCCAACCGAGCUGGGUGAUAGCUGGUUGCCUGUGAAAUGAAUCUUAGUUCUCCCUUGAUUCUCCUCCCCGGACAUCCCACCUUAACCCCUAUGAAGUGAAUUAAGAGUAAUUUAAAGGGGGUACAGCCCCUUUAAAAAAGAAUACAACCUCCACUAGUGGAUAAUCUCCCAAACUUUUCCUUAAACUGUAGGCCCUUAAGCAGCCACCAGUAAAGAGUGCGUCAAAGCUCUGCACACAAAAAUCCAACAACAACAUGACUCCCUCCCUACUAACAGGCUAAUCUAUACCAAUAGAAGCAUUAAUGCUAGAAUGAGUAACUAGGGACCUCCCUCCUGAGCGCAAACUUACACUAUCACAUUAUUAACAGACAAUAAACCAAUAUCUCAACUACAACAAGAUUAAAAUAUUAGACCUAUUCUGUUACCCCAACUAAGGAGCGCCUAUUAGAAAGAUUAAAAUCUGUAAAAGGAACUAGGCAAACCUAAGGCCCGACUGUUUACCAAAAACAUAGCCUUCAGCCCACCAAGUAUUGAAGGUGAUGCCUGCCCAGUGACAUAACGUUUAACGGCCGCGGUAUCCUAACCGUGCGAAGGUAGCGCAAUCAAUUGUCCCAUAAAUCGAGACUUGUAUGAAUGGCUAAACGAGGUCUUAACUGUCUCUUACAGAUAAUCAGUGAAAUUGAUCUUCCUGUGCAAAAGCAGGAAUUCUAACAUAAGACGAGAAGACCCUGUGGAACUUAAAAAUCAACGGUCACUGCAUACAAAUUUAAACCUACUAGGCUCAUUAUUCCCAAAUGCUGACCCGUAUUUUUCGGUUGGGGCGACCUUGGAGAAAAACAAACCCUCCAAAAAUAAGAUUAUUCCUCUUAACCAAGAGCAACCCCUCAACGUACUAAUAGUAACCAGACCCAAUUCAAUUGAUUAAUGGACCAAGCUACCCCAGGGAUAACAGCGCAAUCUCCUCUAAGAGCCCACAUCGACGAGGAGGUUUACGACCUCGAUGUUGGAUCAGGACAUCCUGAUGGUGCAGCUGCUAUCAAGGGUUCGUUUGUUCAACGAUUAACAGUCCUACGUGAUCUGAGUUCAGACCGGAGCAAUCCAGGUCGGUUUCUAUCUAUGAUGGACUUUCUCUAGUACGAAAGGACCGAGAAAGUGGGGCCAAUACUACAGGUACGCCUCCUCUCUAAGUAAUGUACUCAACUAAAUUACCAAAGGAUACCUCACACUACCCAUCCUAGAAAAGGACCA